GGUCUCAUAGCUCAGUUGGUUAGAGCAUCUGACUCAUAAUCAGAGGGUCCAAGGUUCGAGCCCUUGUGAGACCA
rnacentral:tRNA from 1 species